CUUUUGAACCUAACUCCAGGACAUGGCCCAAGAUCAGAGCUGCCAGACCUCAACACCCUGCCUACCAUACCGUGGAGAAACUGGAGCCCUGGACGAUCUAAUCUUAACUGGCCACCAAGAAAAGUUUGUCUGCCUUAUUGGGAGUGCCUGCCUACCCACUGGGCCAAAUUCUCUGCCAGAGUAAAUUGGUGCAACUCUGUUACUUUCAAUAUUGUUUCAUCCAUUUUAACCAGCUCCUUCCUCUACCAACAAACAGGAAAGUCCACAAUGGGAGUUUGGAAAAUCAAGUAUCUUCAAC